ensembl:lncRNA
AUGUCCAAACAAGAUAACAAGCAGAACCUUCAAGGGAUCGUCCCAAACGACAACAUCUCAAAGCAGAGCAAAACCUUCCAGAGUAUUCACCAAGCUUUAAAUUCACCUGUACCUUUACCUGCUGACCCACGGUAUGAUCCAUACCCUGUAGUCCAGCAGGAACAGCCUUCCAGUGGCCAUUUCCCACAGUAUCUAAAACCCUGGGCAGGAGGGGUUCAGUCUGCCCCUGCUGGAGCUCCAUGGAUGGGUGUUCCUGUAAACCCGCUGGUGUGGAAGAUACUGAGGAUGUCUGAAGCUGGUGCUGAGGAGCUGAUGUAUGGUGAGCAGUCAGACAGAGAAAAAUGGAGAAAAGACUCAAACUCUGAGCUUCAGAAACAUCAGGACCAGAGGAGAAGGAGGAAGGAGAAAGGCAGCGACCGCUCCUCUGAACUCGACACAAAAUCAGCUUGUCUUUCAGAUGGCCAUGGAGACAGCAUUGAAAGUAGUGCACUGUCCACUGUGAGAAAUCAAAGGAGAAGAGAAAGACAGACACACCGUUUAUCAUCAGAAGAGAAAGGUGGUGUCUCUAUGGGGUCCUCGUCCAGGUCAGACCACCACCCUGAUACCAGCAAUGAGAAAAACGAGAUCAGUAAGAGCUCAACUGUGACGACAUCCAGAGCAUCCAAUACUCAGGUGAAGAGCACAGCUGGAAUAGGGUCCAGCAGUGAAUGUGUUAAUCAGUCCUCAGAAGAUGCAAAAGUCGUACGUUCUUCUGUAAUGGAGAAAAUGACUAAGCAAAGAAGACGAGAAACAGAGAUAGACCGAUCAUCUUCAGAAGAGAAAGGUGGUGUCUCAGGGAGGUCCUCAUCCAGGUCAAAUCACCACUGUAACACCAGCAAUGACAAAAACAAGAUCAGUCAGAGCUCAACUGUAACGACAUCCAGAGCAUCCAAUACUCAGGUGAAGAGCACAGCUGGAGUAGGGUCCACUAAACAUCUGGAUAAAGAGAGGGAACAGGAGGAUAACUGUAAGGAGGACAGGAUUACAGACAGUCCCACUGCAGUGGAGAAGAAGAACAAGAAGAAGCAGAAGACAAAGAAGAGAAUAAAGAAGAAUGAAGAUGAUUUAGAGGAGGAGAAGCAUCUCACAGAUCAGGAAGAACGAGUGAGUGAAGAUGGGGAGCAGAGAAGAGAAGAAAAGAAAGAGGAGGAGGAUGAUGUGGGUGAUGAAGAACAGAAUGAAGAGGUAAAGAGUGAGAGAUUAUGUAAUAAGAGGAGAAAAGGUGGAGAAAAAUCUGAAGGAGCAUCUCUUGUAGAGAUGGAGGUGGAGGAGGAAGAGGAUGAUGAUGAGAAGUAUAAAGGUGAAGAUGAAGAAGAUGAGAAUGGAGGAGAUAAAGAAGAGGAGGAUGAUGAUGUUGAUGAUGGAGAUGGAGAACUAAUAGAAAAAAGUGAAGGAGAGGAAGAUGAUGAUCAGGAGGAUGGAGAAGAUGAUGAUGGUGAUGAUGGAGAUGAAGAUGGACCAGAGGAGAUAAGUGUAAAGGUUAAAGCACCAAGAAGUAGACAGAUCAAAAGAGGUGAUGAGUCAGAUGAAAGAGGAAAUGACAGUGAAGAUGCUGCAUCAGAUUCAAAAGUGAACAUCAAUGACAGUCUUAAACAUUUGUAUAAAGACGAGGAGACAGAAGAUGAAGAGCUGUACGAUCAAGAGAUAGAAGAUGAUAUUGAGGAUGGUGAUGAUGAUGAUGAUGAUGAUGAUGAGGAUGAUGAUGUGGUGGUUGAGAAAGCGUACCCGUGGUCACGUGGUCCAGCCUACAAUCACACUAAAUAUCAGGACGAUGAGGAUGAAGAUGAUGUUGAAGGUCUUCUCGCUCCACAAAUCAACAUUCAGGAACAUGAUUCUGAUGAAGAAAAGGAAACACUCAAUUCAAAAGGUGAACAAAAAUGUCAAAAUAGUUCUGCUGUUUAUGACAAAUAGUGAAAUAUCAAAUGUACUGUAGAUGUGCCAGAGCAACUGGCUGUAGAAGCUUCUGACUGGGAUUCCCGGCAUCUUGUUUUUAGUCAGUUGAGUGUAAUGUCGUCAUGUGGCCACUAGAUGGUACAAGAAGUGUGUCCAUAUGAGGUUAUACUGCACUCUAAAAAACAGAGGUACAAUAUGAGUACUUUUUUUGUACUCAAAGGUACACUCUUCAUAAUUGUACCCUCAAUGGUACAAUAUUGGUCUUUUCAGGGUCAGAUUU